rnacentral:rRNA from 1 species
GCACAGAAAUUAGCCGGUGCUUUCUCGUGAGGUACCGUCAAUAAUUUCUUCCCUCACAACAGAAGUUUACACCCAGUAAAGGGCUUCAUCCUUCACGCGGUGUCGCUCCGUCAGGCUUUCGCCCAUUGCGGAAGAUUCCUAA